GCUAAGGUGGCAGAGCCCGGUUACUGCAAGAGACCUAAGUCCUUUCCACAGAGGUUCAAGUCCUCUCCUCAGCU
rnacentral:tRNA from 1 species